ensembl:lncRNA
CAGCUGGGAAGUGCCACGGAUCAUGAUGGCUUGUGGUGGGCAGCUCACGUCUUAUUACGCUAUAUAAACACAAACAACACACCAGACGGAACUAGAUCAAAUAACAGGAGUCAGGGAACCAGGAGCUCAGAUGAAGGCUCUUGCAAAUUUCUCUGCUCCAGUUUUACAGAACACAGUCUGGUCUAGAUUGUCAAUUUGUGUGUUGAGUAGUAGGAGGAAGGUAGGAUGCACGGGAAGUCCUCGUUUCAAAGAUGAAAAAUGUAGCUCAGAGAUGCCAACCCUGUGGUCAUCAUUAAGCAUGUGUGUGUUAGGUACAUGUUUUCCAACAGACACCGAAUUAAACAGUGAUAUUUCAGGUUGGGAAGGUCCUCUGCAGAAGGAAAUGGCAACCUGCUCCAGUAUUCUUGCCUGGAAAACUGCAUGGACAGAGGAGCCUGGUGGGCUACAGUUCAUAGGACCGUUAAAGAGCUGGACACUACUCAGAGACUGAACAACUUCCCCCUACAAUGUCUCCAGCGCCCUCUACUGAAAAUUUUAGCGUCAUGAGAAGUGAAA